UACAGAGGUCCCAAGCGUUGUUCAGAUUCACUGGGCGUAAAGGGUGCGUAGGUGGUGAGGUAAGUCGGAUGUGAAAGCUCGGAGCUCAACUCCGAAAUGGCAUUGGAAACUACCUUGCUCGAGGGUUGGAGGGGGGACUGGAAUACUUGGUGUAGCAGUGAAAUGCGCAGAUAUCGGGAGGAACACCCGUGGCGAAGGCGGCACUCUGGGACGGUACUGACGCUGAGACGCGAAAGCGUGGGGAGCAAACAGG
rnacentral:rRNA from 1 species